UCCAUUAACCCCCGAUCAAUCCCAUUGAUCCCAUUGAUCCCAUCCGAUCGAUCUUAUCAAUCCCAUCGAUCCCAUCCGAUCAAUCCCAUUAAUCCCAUCUGAUCAAUCUUAUCGUUCCCAUUGAUCCCACCCGAUCGACCCCACGGCCCCCCCUUGCCCCGGCGCACCCUCGGACUCGGAGCCUUCCUCCUCGGCCUCCUCCUCCUCCUCGCUCUCCUCGCCGUCGCUCUCCUCCUCCUUCUCCACCUUCUGCCGCACGCUGGUGAACACCGACUGCAGCACGAUCGAGUCCUCGUAGAUCUGCCAGCGGUCACUCGCGGUCACUCGCGGUCACUCAUGGUCGGUCGUGGUCAGUCAUGGUCAGUUCUGGUCAGUCUUGGUCACUCAUGGUCACUUGUGGUCAGUCAUGGUCACUCCUGGUUAUCCAUCGUCAAUUCUGGUCACCCAUGGUCAGGCAUGGUCAUUUCUGGUCAUUUCUGGUCACUCAUGGUCAGUCUUGGUCACUCGUGGUCAGUCUUGGUCACUUAUGGUCAGUUCUGGUCACUCAUGGUCAGUUCUGGUCAGUCCUGGUCAUCCCUGGUCAUUCCAACUCAUUCCAGGCCAUUCCUGGUCACUCCUGGUCAGUUCUGGUCUUCCCUGGUCACUCUUGGACAUUCCUGGCCACCCCAG
rnacentral:lncRNA from 1 species